rnacentral:lncRNA from 1 species
AAAAAUGUUGCCAGUUUUUCUGCAUUUUAAUGUUUACUAAAGGAAAUGUGAGAAGUGAAGAUGGACUAUUGAAAAUGCUUGACGUUCUUCAGUUGUUCUUUAUGUUUCAAUUUUAGCUUGCCGGAUGCCAUUUUUUAUGGGGCUUUAAAAAAUGCAGAAUGGAAAUUUGAUUCAAAUAUGGGUUGACUUCAUUAUCAACAGGGAACUGUGAUAUUUGCUUAAGUUCUAUAGGAAUUUUGUUUGAUGCAACUAUGUAAAGAUAUCCUGGUGGAACUAUUGUGAGAGUUAGUCAUGGACAUGCAAAACUCUGUGUCAAAUCUAUAUAAUAGUACCAAAAAGUUUAACUUUGAUGCCAAUAGUGCCUUCUGAAAGUAUGGUAUCAUGGAUGACUUAUUAAAAAGUGGAGUCUUUGCUUCUGAUGUAA